AACCCAAGAAAUCCACAAAUUUUGUCAGACUCUGAAAAACUUGGGCACAGCGAUGGCACUGGGCUGGAUUACGAUCAAGAUCGCUUGCAAGCCUACCUCGAUGAGGGCUGUGAAGCCAUUGAUCGCUUCCUGAAUCCAGAUUACGACCCAACAACGAUGUCGUUUCUUCCAUAGCCUGUGCCCCUCUUAUCACACCCAUAGUGGUCCCAUAUAGAAGACCCGACUGCGAAGGUGGCUACUGAUUCGUCUACUUCAAGCGCAAACAAGGCCGUCUGAUUUGAUCUGAUCUUCCGCAACAUCAUCUCGUCAUCAAAAUCACUUCAGACAACACUCGCCCCUCCUGUGUCUGCUAUGUUCUGAUUAUUUUUUGUUUUAACAUGGAGUUCGGGGUUGUCUCGGUGUGUGAUUUUGCCUAUGUUAUGGUGUGAUUGAGUUGUUGAUUUGGCUGGUGGAGAUAUCAAUAGUUGGACUCCGAGGGGAGAGAUUUUGGCAUAUUGCUCAUACAAGUUGGAUGAGAACUAUUGAAUUGUUUGGAAUAUCCAAUUUUUGAGUUUUUCGUAAAUGUUUCAAAGAAGUUGUUUAGAGUCGAUGCUUGUAAAUCCUUUGAGCAUUUAUUGUGAUGGGGUUCAUGAUUAUUUACUAGGAAUAGAUAUAUGUUUCUGAAUGAGGAUAAAGUAAUGUGUUCUCUGCAAGGCGUAUUACCUGUUAGCACAGUAAUAGAUGCAUUCAAUAAGGUUUCUACAUCAUAUGUUGGUGAAGAAGUUUACAUAGAUUUUGAAGGACAUAAUUUUUGCAGUGAUUUUGAAUGAAGUUUUUAUAUACGGUUUCUUGGAAAAAGCAUAACUGUUGGUGAGCAUUUUUUGUUCAAAUUCUUAAAGAUUUUACUACCCAAUAAGUAAAAGACAUGUAGUAAUUGUGUGUCAAAUUCUUGGUUCUACUUGCAAACUGGAAUUGGCUACAGUAAAUGCUGUGCCUAUUUGUAAUGACACAACAAACAUCUAAUUUGACAGGUUAGUCAUUCUUUCAACUUGAAUUUUCACAGGCUCAUGAAAAUUUGUUAAUUGUUGCAACAUAUAUAAAGGAGAUUCUUUUUAAUGGAUGAGUUUAAAAAUAGGUAUAAGUAAUUAAGAGUUGUAACUAUACCAAGAUUAUUUCACAUGAGAAUUUUGCAAGGCCUUGAUGCUUUCUCUGAGCACUUAUGGGCAUUCUAAAUGUAGAUUAUUACUGGUAAUGUUGCUCUGGAUCUGUCACCGCGUGGAAUGGAUAUGUGAAAAAAAUUUCCCAUUUGUGCUUUCUAUGUUUUCCUUUUCUAGAAUGAUUUAUUAUUUUUUGUUGUUUUACAUAUUUGUUGAGAAGAUUGUUGUUGGGUACGUUAAUUAGCCCUAUUUUCUCUUUUUAAUCCUGAGAGUAAUAUGAAAAAAGGGUAAGGAGUUGAGGUUCUUACUCGGUACUCACUACUAGGUUUCAUUGCAAUUUGCUAGUGUUCAUAUCUUCUUGAAAGGAAUCUUUAUUGAAGGUUUUCCUUGGACUCGAGUCAUGAAUUUUCUUACUGGUAAAGAAAAAGCAGAGAAUCAUGUCGAUGUUUGCUCAUGCAUGUAUUGCAACAAAAUUUUUAAUAACUACCAGGCGCAUGGGGGCCAUCUUAGUGUUCAUCAGGAAGAGGUCAAGUCAAGGAGGAGCUGGAAUUACCCUGCUCAUUCCAGUGGUUCUGUUCAUAAUGUUGGCGCCAGUGCUAAUCUCCUCCCCAGCUCCGUACCCACAGAUCUCGUUGGGGGUCCGGCAAGCAAUAUGAAUCUCCUAACCAGGACAACCUCUCGCUUGGAUCCUCCUUGGAAUCUCCUUGCUAGGACAACCUCUUGCUCAGAUCCUCCUUGGGAUCUCCUUGCUAGGACAACCUCUCACUUGGAUCUUUCAAGGAGGUUCUUCCAAAAUGAUUCUGGCUUGGUGAAUGCUUGCAACUUCUCCCAGAGCAAACUUGGUAUUUUUCUUCAAAUUGGUUUGCUUCGUUGAUCAGCAAGGCAGCCAUAUCUCUGAUAUGAUAUGGCCCAUCUGGAAGCGCUUCAGUGGCCACUUUCCCUUCGGGUCCCUCGCUUUCUUCGUCUGCAAAUGAAAACUGUCAAUUUAAUAUUGAUAAGUACCGCACUUGGAGGAAUGAAGGGCCAAUAACUUCUGGAAGUUCCUUGCAGGGCACUCAAUGCCAUACUCUUCACGAGGAUGUGCGCUCUGUUUAUGUAUUGGCUGAUCUCAAUGCUGGUCGUGCCUUAAAUCAACCAUCUGGUUGCAAGGAAUCUACCAUGAUCUGCUCGUGUACAUGACUCCGGCAGUGAGCAGAAUUGGGGACAAACAGGAUAUACACAGACUUUACCCUAUGUAGAGGCUAUUUCUAGGAAUUAAACUUGUGACCUCUAGGUUGCACUACUGUAACUAGACCACUAGACCACAUGCUUGCUUGUGUAUAUAUGUGUAUAUAUAUUGUUGUUUUAGUUGAUGAUAUGAGUGGACCAGUAUUUGUGUUCGUCUUGUGAAUCAUCUCCACUUCCUUUGUGUUUCAUUAUCUUGAUAGGAAAAGGAAAGAGGGUAUAGAACUUUCCAUAUGGGACGUGUAUGACACGAGGGACUUUGCAAUAUAGCAUAUCUUGAACUUCAAGGUUGGAUCAUAAUGUGGAGAUUUGCAUUGAAGCAGUGACAAGAAGUGCACUUUCAUUUUCAAUUUCUCUUUUCAUUUAGGAAAUGUAGUCUUCAUUUAGAACGCUCUAAUACUGUGUGUCAAUUUCUGCCAGGCUAGACCAAACAAGAAAAGCAGUAAGGGCUAGCGGACAGGCAAGCUAGAGCGACAAGGAAGGUAGCAAAUGACUGCAUUAAAAAGCAUGUAAUGAGCAGGAGGAAAGCUCGCUGAAUGUGCGUCAGGUGGAGGUAUGCAGAAUGUGUAGCAGAACCUAAAACAAGGCAAACCUAGUUUUAGAAGGAAGUACAACACUAGCGGAAGCAUGAAGCAGAAGAGGCUGCUAUUGGGGAUGAGAUCCAGCAUGAAGGAAUAGAUGCAAAUGUGGACCGACAACCACAUGGUGAUGACGAGUAGCAAAUCAGCUUGGCCUUGGCAAUAAGAGCAAAUACAGGUAUGAUCCUGAUCAUGUCUAUGGGGCAGAUGAAAAUGCUGGAUAUAGUAUGCUUUGAUUGCCCGGCCUUGAUUCGACCAUCAAAGGAGUAGAAAGUGCAUGAAGCAGAGGCAGUACCGAGAGCCUUAAUUGGAGCCGGCAGGGAGAGUAACAAACGCAUGAAGAAGAGAUGCAGCACUAAGAACCUUCAACAGAAAAUGCUGGAUAUAGUAUGCUUUGAUUGCCCGGCCUUGAUUCGACCAUCAAAGGAGUAGAAAGUGCAUGAAGCAGAGGCAGUACCGGGAGCCUUAAUUGGAGCCGGCAGGGAGAGUAACAAACGCAUGAAGAAGAGAUGCAGCACUAAGAACCUUCAACAGAACCACCAAAGGAAUAUUGGUUUAGUAGUAUCAGGAUCCUUCAUUAGAGCAAGUACCAGUUCAAUAUCAAGAUAUCCGCAGGCCAAGAGUUUUGGAAGUUCCUCACAACCCCUCUCAAUCGAAUGCAAAUUGAUUCCUUUUAGUUGGUUUUUGGACGAUACCUUCAUGAUUCAGUUGCUUCUUUCUACUACUGUUGGGAUGGUUGCCACCUUUUUUGUUGUUGUUUUGGACGAUGUACUCUGUAUUAUCUAUUGGAUUGGACAAUAAUGAUCCGGUGCAAUAGAUGGGAAUGUGAACUUUUUGUGUAUGAAUGCUGUUAAAUUUGUGUUUUGCAUUCUUUUGAUGGUCUCA